rnacentral:misc_RNA from 1 species
UUAUUUUGACCUAUUGGGCCUUUGAAUUUCUAUUUUUGAAAAUAUUGAGUCCAAUUUGUCCAAAAAGCAGCUCUGGAGUGUUAAAUGUUUUCUUAUAGAUUAAUAAAUGACAAAAGAUAGAAAGUGGUGGAUUGAAUUUAAUUUUUUUUUGCAUAUGCAUGGACAAAUUGGAUUCAAUAGAUACAAAAAUAAAAUGAGUUAAUAGGUCAAAUUAAUGUUAAAGAUUUUAAAAGUUUUUUUUUUCUUUAAGUUCAGGGGCUUCUAUAUGAGUUAUUCCUUUUGUUUUUGGACACAAAGUAUGCUCAGCAUGUGACAACUAAUAGGCAGGUUUCCUGCUGAAUGAAUUGAUCCAUUAAAACAAAAGCCAUGCCCUAAAAGACAUCAUGUAUAUAUCUUUCUCUUGCAAAAAUAUGUAUAUUGUGGGAUUGCUUGGAGAAUUGUAAUUGGUUCUCUGCUGGGGAAAUGGUUCUGUAACUGAUUCGUGCCUGCAGACAUGGACAGAUGCUUCUAUUCUAUGAAAUAUUGCGUAUUUGUUUUUCCAAUUAGACUGACUUACUUUCUCUCAAACCCAUGCUCACAUAUUCCCUCCUCAACGAAGAAAAUAACGGGAUAAAAAAGACAACAGAAAAAUUAACUAAGAAGAAAAAAUCCUAAUUUAUCAUAAACGGAAUUGAAAGUCAGGAAUUUGAUUUUUAAAUAGGUUGCAUGUGAUGCCUCUCUUU